AUUGAACGCUGGCGGAAUGCCUUACACAUGCAAGUCGAACGGUAGAGGGGGCAACCCCUCGAGAGUGGCGAACGGGUGAGUAAUAUAUCGGAACGUGCCCAGUCGUGGGGGAUAACGUAGCGAAAGUUACGCUAAUACCGCAUACGAUCUAAGGAUGAAAGCGGGGGAUCGCAAGAACUCGCGCGAUUGGAGCGGCCGAUAUCAGAUUAGGUAGUUGGGGGGGUAAAGGCUCACCAAGCCAACGAUCUGUAGCUGGUCUGAGAGGACGACCAGCCACACUGGAACUGAGACACGGUCCAGACUCCUACGGGAGGCAGCAGUGGGGAAUUUUGGACAAUGGACGCAAGUCUGAUCCAGCCAUUCCGCGUGCAGGAUGAAGGCCCUCGGGUUGUAAACUGCUUUUGUACGGAACGAAAAGGUCUCUCUUAAUACGGGGGGCUCAUGACGGUACCGUAAGAAUAAGCACCGGCUAACUACGUGCCAGCAGCCGCCGUAA
rnacentral:rRNA from 1 species